UAAGAAUAAGCAUCGGCUAACUCCGUGCCAGCAGCCGCGGUAAUACGGAGGAUGCAAGCGUUAUCCGGAAUCAUUGGGUUUAAAGGGUCCGUAGGUGGAUUUGUAAGUCAGAGGUGAAAUCCUGCAGCUUAACUGUAGAACUGCCUUUGAUACUGCUAAUCUUGAGUCAUUAUGAAGUAGUUAGAAUAUGUAGUGUAGCGGUGAAAUGCAUAGAUAUUACAUAGAAUACCAAUUGCGAAGGCAGAUUACUAAUAAUGUACUGACACUGAUGGACGAAAGCGUGGGGAGCGAACGGGAUUAGAUACCCCGGUAGUCCACGCCGUAAACGAUGGAUACUAGCUGUUCGACUUCGGUUGAGUGGCUAAGCGAAAGUGAUAAGUAUCCCACCUGGGGAGUACGUUCGCAAGAAUGAAACUCAAAGGAAUUGACGGGGGCCCGCACAAGCGGUGGAGCAUGUGGUUUAAUUCGAUGAUACGCGAGGAACCUUACCAGGGCUUAAAUGUAAGUUGCAUGAUUUAGAGAUAGAUCUUUCUUCGGACUACUUACAAGGUGCUGCAUGGUUGUCGUCAGCUCGUGCCGUGAGGUGUCAGGUUAAGUCCUAUAACGAGCGCAACCCCUGUUGUUAGUUGCCAGC
rnacentral:rRNA from 1 species